rfam:Dipodomys ordii ctg_broad_rename0002508, whole genome shotgun sequence.
GGUGGCUCAGUGGUAGAGCUCUUGCCUUGCAUGCAUGAGGUCCUGGGUUCGAUUCCUCAGCACCA